rnacentral:misc_RNA from 1 species
GUGGGCACCAAUCUCUCCAGAGAAUGACAUAUCACUGCUGCUACGGCUCAAAUGGUGGCCUGUGUUAAAAUGGGAAGUGUGUGUCGUUGCCAUCGUGCGACGGCCAGAAGGAAAAUUUGAUGAAACAAGAUCAGAGCUCGGGGUUUUGAAGGGUUUAAGACAUUUGCUUCAAUUAGAAUAGAAUUAUAAGUUUAUAACACACAUGAACCCACUAAGAGACACGGAGUGGUAUGGAGUUUUGGACCUAGAGAGGGGGGAGUUAUAGAGAGAGAGUAGGAGAAUCAGAGUAGGUGGAGGGGGUUUGUUUAUUUAAACUUCAUCAAAAAAUCACUCUCUCUCAAUAUCUGUGUCAGUUGUGGGCAGUAUUGGUGCACAGCAGUAUAAUUAUGCAUCUGCUGCAUUUCAAACUGAAGUUUUUUUCUUUUCCUUUCUCAAACCUUCAAACCAUACACAUUUCUAAAUUUUAAAUUUUUUUCUCAAGAUUUUCUAUAGAAAGUCUCUCCCUACAAAGAAAAUAUUAACUUUCCAAAAGACUGUUUAGUUUUUACUGUUUUCCCUUUCUUGUUGCUGGUUUGUGAACUGGCAACAAGACCCACGUCCUAUUCCUAGCUCCUGGCCUAGAAUUAGGGAGAAACCACAGGUCAUCUCCAUUUUUUUACUGUACAAAAAGGACAUGAU